GGUGGUGGCCAGCUGGCUCGGGGACUUGCGGACUUCACCGCCCUUCCAGACAUAGAUGGUGCUCGAGAUGGGGGUGUGGCGGGGGAUUGGCGGGAUUGUUUUGAGGCAGCUGGUGAUGGCUUGUCUGAGUUGGUAUCCCUACGGGCAUACGAGCUCAUUAUCUCGCCACCAGUGCUCUUUGCGGAGGCAUGCUCGUUGCUGAAGUCUUUAUCGGUUGGAAUUCGGCUCUCCCAUGGCCGUGCUGCCAUCCAGCGCUCCAUCCAGCUCCAGCCCCAGUGAGGAUUGUUCGGGUCCAUGAAUAAUGGAUUUGCAGACUUGGAAGAGUUUUUCCAC
rnacentral:misc_RNA from 1 species